UGCCGCUGGAGGAUCCCAAGGAAGAAGUGCUGACUCCAAAUCAUUUCCUUUGGUUAAGUUCCGGUGAGGACAGCAAACCACCAAGAGUACCAAUCGACGAUGUUACACCUCUUCGACCCAACUGGAAGGCUAUUCAACACUUAACGAACCAGUUUUGGAAGCGCUGGGUGCCAGCUUAUCUACCUACCAUAGCCUGCAGGAAGAAAUGGUUCGCGGAAACGCGGCCGCUGAAGGUCGGCGAUCUAGUGGUUAUCGUAGGCGAGUCCGUGCGCAACGGAUGGUUUCGAGGUAAAGUGGUGAAGACUUAUCCAGGACGAGACGGACAAGUUCACAAGGUCGACGUGGAGACUUGCGACGGAUCUACUCUUCAAAGACCAGCGGUAAAGGUUGCUCUGUUGGACGUGCAGGAGGAGAGUAAAGUCGAUUGACUACGACGUUACGGGUUGGGGUGUUAGUAGAACUGGCAACCUUGGUACGGGAUCGGACAAACGUCAACGCGUUGGCGCCGAAAAGGAAUUGUCAUUGUUAGAAAAUUGAUCGAAGCUGCGACACGUUUUUUCCUGACCUGGCAGUUAGUUAGUUUUGUAGUGAAUAGUUUUUAGAGAAAACCGUAUGUAUUGAUUACUAUAGUUGUUCCGCUCAUCCUUUAAAGUAUUUUUUAUAGUAGGUGGAAGCUAUUUGGCCAGUUGCGCGUGAUUUGAGUGCUCGCGGGUUUGUGAGUCGGAAGAGUUUGAGUGACCGUUCGGUUGUUCCGGUUAGGUGUACCGGGUUGAGCUCAAUUAGAGCGGUAGGAAAGAAAAAGCGUAAGUACACAAGUGUACUUUUUAUUUACCCGAAGAUAAAUAUGAUUUUCGUCCAUUAGCUUCAAAUAGCCGGUGAUAUCCGACGGUUUAGGGUUGCCAGAGCUAGAGCUUAGGGUAAACGGCGAAACUUAUUUGUAAGUUAAUAAGAGAUUGUUUACAUUAUCAUCAUUUAAUAAUAAAUGUAUUUACAGUCGAGUUCGUUCGCAUACAACGUA